rnacentral:lncRNA from 1 species
CUUAGCUCGACGCGUGAAAAACAAGCCCCAGACCAUUAUUCCUCCUCCACCAAACUUUACAGUUGGCAUUAUGCAUUCAGGCAAGUAGCGUUCUACUGGCAUCCGCCAAACCCAGAUAUGUCCAACGGACUGUGGUGAAGUGUGAUUCAUCACUCCAGAGAACGCUUUUCCACUGCUCCAGAGUCCAAUUGCAGCGAGUUUUACACCGCUCCAGCCGACGCUUGGCAUUGCGCAUGGUGAUCUUAGGCUUGUGUGUUGCUGCUCAGCCAUGGAAACCCAUUUCAUGAAGCUCCUGACAAACAGUUCUUGUGCUGACGUUGCUUCCAAGAGGCAGUUUGGAACUUGGUAGUGAGUGUUGCAACUGAGGACAGACAAUUUUUACGCACUUCAUCACUCGGCGGUCCCGUUCUGUGAGCUUGUGUGGCCUACCUACGAAUUUGACGAAUUGACUUAUUGGAAAGGUGGGCAUCCUGUGAUGGUGCCACAUUGAAAGUCACUAAGCUCUUCAGUACAGGCCAUUCAACUGCCAAUGUUUGUCUAUGGAGAUUGCAUGGCUGUGUGCUCGAUUUUAUACACCUGUCAGCAACGGGUCUGGCUGAAAUAGCCGAAUCCACUAAUUUGAAGGCGUGUCCACAUACUUUUAGCCAUGUAGUGUAUGUGACUUCAACAGCAAGUGUUAUAGUGAUGGCUCUAGAUAGAAUGAUGGACAGACAAUGCUGACAAACCAGGGCAGCAGGCAGGCAGCAGGCGACAUGGGUCAGCAUAGUGCUGGUUGUAGUUAAGAUACACAGUACAAAACAGGAAGGCUGGCUACUACUUCCUCCUGAAGGUUCCUAAUCAGACAGACUACUGACUAACCCUAACCCAGACUACUGACUAACCCAGACUACUGACUAACCCUAACCCAGACUACUGACUAACCCCAGACUACUGACUAACCCUAACCCAGACUACUGACUAACCCAGACUACUGACUAACCCUAACCCAGACUACUGACUAACCCAGACUACUGACUAACCCCAGACUACUGACUAACCCAGACUACUGACUAACCCUAACCCAGACUACUGACUAACCCCAGACUACUGACUAACCCUAACCCAGACUACUGACUAACCCAGACUACUGACUACUGACUAACCCCAGACUACUGACUAACCCAGACUACUGACUAACCCAGACUACUGACUACUGACUAACCCAGACUACUGACUACUAACUAACCCCAGACUACUGACUAACCCAGACUACUGACUAACCCAGACUACUGACUACUGACUAACCCCAGACUACUGACUAACCCCAGACUACUGACUAACCCCAGACUACUGACUACUGACUAACCCAGACUACUGACUAACCCAGACUACAGACUAACCCAGACUACAGACUACUGACUAACCCAGACUACUGACUAACCCAGACUACUGACUAACCCAGACUACUGACUACUGACUAACCCAGACUACUGACUACUGACUAACCCAGACUACUGACUAACCCAGACUACAGACUAACCCAGACUACAGACUACUGACUAACCCCAGGCUCAUAUCAGACAGAUGAUUAUGUUGUAAUAGAUCCAACAGAGCCGUACUAUAUGUAUACACAUGUAUAUAUGGCUCUGGUUCCCAGCAGCUGCCAAUAGACAGAUAAUACUAGAGAGAUAGCUAGGUAGAGCAGCUGCCAAUAGAGGGAUAAUACUAGAGAGAUAGUUAGGUAGAGCAGCUGCCAAUAGACAGAUAAUACUAGAGAGAUAGCUAGGUAGAGCAGCUGCCAAUAGACAGAUAAUACUAGAGAGAUAGUUAGGUAGAGCAGCUGCCAAUAGAGGGAUAAUACUAGAGAGAUAGUUAGGUAGAGCAGCUGCCAAUAGACAGAUAAUACUAGAGAGAUAGCUAGGUAGAGCAGCUGCCAAUAGAGGGAUAAUACUAGAGAGAUAGUUAGGUAGAUCAGCUGCCAAUAGACAGAUAAUACUAGAGAGAUAGUUAGGUAGAGCAGCUGCCAAUAGACAGAUAAUACUAGAGAGAUAGCUAGGUAGAACAGCUGCCAAUAGACAGAUAAUACUAGAGAGAUAGUUAGGUAGAGCAGCUGCCAAUAGAGGGAUAAUACUAGAGAGAUAGUUAGGUAGAGCAGCUGCCAAUAGACAGAUAAUACUAGAGAGAUAGUUAGGUAGAGCAGCUGCCAAUAGAGGGAUAAUACUAGAGAGAUAGUUAGGUAGAGUAGCUGCCAAUAGAGGGAUAAUACUAGAGAGAUAGCUAGGUAGAUCAGCUGCCAAUAGACAGAUAAUACUAGAGAGAUAGUUAGGUAGAGCAGCUACCAAUAGAGGGAUAAUACUAGAGAGAUAGUUAGGUAGAGUUGCUGCCAAUAGACAGAUAAUACUAGAGAGAUAGUUAGGUAGAGCAGCUGCCAAUAGACAGAUAAUACUAGAGAGAUAGCUAGGUAGAGCAGCUGCCAAUAGAGGGAUAAUACUAGAGAGAUAGUUAGGUAGAUCAGCUGCCAAUAGACAGAUAAUACUAGAGAGAUAGUUAGGUAGAGCAGCUACCAAUAGAGGGAUUAUACUAGAGAGAUAGCUAGGUAGAGCAGCUGCCAAUAGAGGGAUAAUACUAGAGAGAUAGUUAGGUAGAGCAGCUGUCAAUAGAGGGAUAAUACUAGAGAGAUAGUUAGGUAGAGCAGCUGCCAAUAGACAGAUAAUACUAGAGAGAUAGCUAGGUAGAGCAGCUGCCAAUAGAGGGAUAAUACUAGAGAGAUAGUUAGGUAGAGCAGCUGUCAAUAGACAGAUAAUACUAGAGAGAUAGUUAGGCUGCCAAUAGAGGGAUAAUACUAGAGAGAUAGUUAGGUAGAGCAGCUGCCAAUAGAAGGAUAAUACUAGAGAGAUAGUUAGGCUGCCAAUAGAGGGAUAAUACUAGAGAGAUAGUUAGGUAGAGCAGCUGCCAAUAGACAGAUAAUACUAGAGAGAUAGUUAGGCUGCCAAUAGAGGGAUAAUACUAGAGAGAUAGUUAGGUAGAGCAGCUGCCAAUAGACAGAUAAUACUAGAGAGAUAGUUAGGCUGCCAAUAGAGGGAUAAUACUAGAGAGAUAGUUAGGUAGAGCAGCUGCCAAUAGACAGAUAAUACUAGAGAGAUAGUUAGGCUGCCAAUAGAGGGAUAAUACUAGAGAGAUAGUUAGGUAGAGCAGCUGCCAAUAGAAGGAUAAUACUAGAGAGAUAGUUAGGCUGCCAAUAGAGGGAUAAUACUAGAGAGAUAGUUAGGUAGAGCAGCUGCCAAUAGACAGAUAAUACUAGAGAGAUAGUUAGGCUGCCAAUAGAGGGAUAAUACUAGAGAGAUAGUUAGGUAGAGCAGCUGCCAAUAGACGGAUAAUACUAGAGAGAUAGUUAGGCUGCCAAUAGAGGGAUAAUACUAGAGAGAUAGUUAGGUAGAGCAGCUGCCAAUAGACGGAUAAUACUAGAGAGAUAGUUAGGCUGCCAAUAGAGGGAUAAUACUAGAGAGAUAGUUAG